UACGUAGGGGGCAAGCGUUGUCCGGAAUCAUUGGGCGUAAAGAGCGUGUAGGCGGCCCGGUAAGUCGGCUGUGAAAGUCCAGGGCUCAACCCUGGGAUGCCGGUCGAUACUGCCGGACUAGAGUUCGGAAGAGGCGAGUGGAAUUCCCGGUGUAGCGGUGAAAUGCGCAGAUAUCGGGAGGAACACCUAUGGCGAAGGCAGCUCGCUGGGACGUAACUGACGCUGAGACGCGAAAGCGUGGGGAGCAAACAGG
rnacentral:rRNA from 1 species